rnacentral:rRNA from 1 species
UACAGAGGUCUCAACCGUUGUUCGGAUUCAUUGGGCGUAAAGGGUGCGUAGGCGGUCGCGUAAGUCGGAUGUGAAAUCUCAGGGCUCAACCCUGAAACUGCAUUCGAUACUGCGUGGCUAGGGUACUGGAGAGGAGACUGGAAUUUACGGUGUAGCAGUGAAAUGCGUAGAUAUCGUAAGGAAGACCAGUGACGAAGGCGAGUCUCUGGACAGUUACCGACGCUGAGGCACGAAGGCCAGGGGAGCAAACGGG